rnacentral:rRNA from 1 species
UACGUAGGGUGCGAGCGUUGUCCGGAAUUACUGGGCGUAAAGGGCUCGUAGGCGGUUUGUCGCGUCGGGAGUGAAAACCCAGGGCUUAACCCUGGGCUGGCUUCCGAUACGGGCAGACUAGAGGUAUGCAGGGGAGAACGGAAUUCCUGGUGUAGCGGUGAAAUGCGCAGAUAUCAGGAGGAACACCGGUGGCGAAGGCGGUUCUCUGGGCAUUACCUGACGCUGAGGAGCGAAAGUGUGGGGAGCGAACAGG